rnacentral:rRNA from 1 species
UGGGAAUUUGGACAAUGGGCGAAAGCCUGAUCCAGCAAUGCCGCGUGUGUGAAGAAGGCCUUCGGGUUGUAAAGCACUUUUGUCCGGAAAGAAAUCCUUGGCUCUAAUACAGUCGGGGGAUGACGGUACCGGAAGAAUAAGCACCGGCUAACUACGUGCCAGCAGCCGCGGUAAUACGUAGGGUGCAAGCGUUAAUCGGAAUUACUGGGCGUAAAGCGUGCGCAGGCGGUUUGCUAAGACCGAUGUGAAAUCCCCGGGCUCAACCUGGGAACUGCAUUGGUGACUGGCAGGCUAGAGUAUGGCAGAGGGGGGUAGAAUUCCACGUGUAGCAGUGAAAUGCGUAGAGAUGUGGAGGAAUACCGAUGGCGAAGGCAGCCCCCUGGGCAAUACUGACGCUCAUGCACGAAAGCGUGGGGAGCAAACAGGAUUAGAUACCCUGGUAGUCCACGCCCUAAACGAUGUCAACUAGUUGUUGGGGAUUCAUUUCCUUAGUAACGUAGCUAACGCGUGAAGUUGACCGCCUGGGGAGUACGGUCGCAAGAUUAAAACUCAAAGGAAUUGACGGGGUCAUAGCUGUUUCCU